rnacentral:lncRNA from 1 species
CCAGAAGGCAGCCACGUGGCACCACCUGCACUGCCUGCAGCUUCUGUUGCACCUGGGGCAGAGCUACGCUUGGCUGCUGACACCUAUGAGAAGGCAGGCAUGGUGGACCUUCCGCAAAGACUGAGUAAAGCAGAGAGAGUGUCCUCCCUAAUGUGGGUUAACCUCAUUCCAUCAGCUGAAGGCCUGAAUAGAACAAAAAGGCUCACCGUCCCAUGAAUAGAGAGAACUCCUCCUGCCUGACUGCUGUGAGCUGGGACAUCCAUUGUUUUCUGUUUUUUGGAUUUGAACUGAAACAUCAGCUCUUCCUUGAUCCUGAACCUGCUGGCUUUCUGACCGGAACUUGCACCAACAGCUCUCCUAGUUCUCAGGCCUUUGGACUUGGACUGGAAUUACACCAUCAAAUCUCCUGGGUCUCCAGCUUGCCAUCUGCAGAUCUUGGAACUUCUUAACCUCCACAUCCUGUGAGCCAAUUCCUUAUAAUAAAUCUCUUUAUAAAUAUA